AAAAAGGUGUUAUUAAACACCACUGACUUAUUCAUCUGAAUUAUG
rfam:Ophiophagus hannah scaffold9670.1, whole genome shotgun sequence.